rnacentral:rRNA from 1 species
GAUGAACGCUGGCGGCGUGCCUAAUACAUGCAAGUCGAGCGAACGGACGAGAAGCUUGCUUCUCUGAUGUUAGCGGCGGACGGGUGAGUAACACGUGGAUAACCUACCUAUAAGACUGGGAUAACUUCGGGAAACCGUAGCUAAUACCGGAUAAUAUUUUGAACCGCAUGGUUCAAAAGUGAAAGACGGUCUUGCUGUCACUUAUAGAUGGAUCCGCGCUGCAUUAGCUAGUUGGUAAGGUAACGGCCUACCAAGGCAACGAUGCAUAGCCGACCGGAGAGGGGGAUCGGCCACACGGGAGCUGAGACACGGUCCAGAGUCCUACGGGAGGCAGCAGUAGGGAAUCGUCCGCAAUGGGCGAAAGCCUGACGGAGCAACGCCGCGUGAGUGAUGAAGGUCUUCGGAUCGGAAAACUCUGUUAUUAGGGAAGAACAGAUGUGUAAGGAACUGUGCACAUCUUGACGGUACCGAAUCAGAAAGCAACGGCUAACUACGUG